ACAUGCAUUUCUCAUGAGAGUAUUUUGCUUUGUAAGACAUGUGCCAAAUAUUGAAUUUCACCUUGAAAAAAACUGAUAGUAACUUUUAUUUUCCUUGUUUUCUGAUUUUUUCAUCCAUAAGACAUUUUCUUUUUUUUCUCCCACAUUAUUAAAAAAUUGCUCCUUUCAAAGGAUGCUAUCCAUUUUUGUUACAGUCAUAAUAUUUCAUAUCUCUUUAUAUCUGUAAUCCUUAUCUCAAAGGAAUAUGCUUGCCUUUUGUGAUUUUAGCUUAUAGAACGUUCUUACCAAGGACUAUUUGAACUCUACCUUUUCCCUUUCUUAUUUUUUUCUUAUUCUUUAUUACCAUUGUUUUGGUCUCUAAAAGAUGCAUCUUCCUGGUUAUAACAUGUAGUGUCCCUGUCAUUAGUGUUCCAUGGCUGAAUCCAAGUGCACUAUAAGCAAUGCGUAUUUUUUUCACAAAUGCUUGAUUCAUCAUUUGUUGGCAGCCCUUGGUGGGAAGAGGAUGGCUUGGGCUGUGAGAGGCAAAGAAGUGGAGAUGUGGCCUGUGGUGAGUAUGUGUUGAAAUCAUCAGGAUUAAGUAAAAAUAUCAAUUGAAAUACAUUGAGUUAAAGGAAAACAUUUAAAAAUUAUUUUUACCUUUUUAAUGUUGUUACUGAAAAGUUUUAAAUUAAAAUUGUGACACGCACUAGACUUCUGUUAAAAUUCUGAUCUAUAACUUUGGAUUAUUUUCUGUUUCUAUUGUAGGUUCUGCUGUUUCCCAUUCUCUUUGUCAUAUCUGCCUGAUUAUCAUAGUCAACAUGUGGGAUAUGCUGUUUUAAAAGUUGCCAUUCAAAACAUUUGAAAUUUAUGGUAUUUCCUUCCCACAGAAUCACUCCAAUUUGCUUGUAUUACACUUGGAAGCGACAAGUCCCGAAUUGCUUAUUUCCAUUUCAGGAGUUAAGAUAUUUUGGGCCAUGCAGAAGCCUUGAGGCUGGACUGCAGUGGGUCUGAAGACUGGUUUUCCUCCAGGUCACCCUUCCUCUGAGGGUCCAGUCCUUCAGGAUCACUCCCCAAAGGGCAGGGAAUUUAUCACAGUCCCUGCUUUUGGUAGGGCCUGGACUUCAAUAUCUUCUUGCUCUGCCCCAGGAAACUAUCCAAACCUGCAUGAGUCACUAGGGGAGGUGCCAUAUCACUCUAUCACAACUAGCCCAUCAAGUUAGGCUAGGAAACCACCAUAGUCCUUAAAUUACUACAAUAGCCACAGUGACAUUGCUGGCUGUGGAAACGCACUGUGCUUAUAAAAGUCUGUACUCUAAGAAUGGAUGCCAUAGGCCCUGCCCUCAGUCCUUCCGGUGACCACAGCCCAGGACCUCUGUUAAUGGUACAUCAAGGAAACCACAUGUCUUCAGAACCAGUGUGGCAGCAAAAGCAACAGAUGCCUGGUCUCUGCUCCAGUUCUGCCUCAUUUCACUGACAAAAUCUAAAGCACCUCCAGGAGUUAGGUUGCAAAGGAGUCUGGGAAAUGUAGCAUUUAGCUUUUGUGAUUUCUGUGGUAUAGAAGGUAAGAAGAAAGAAAAAACAAUGGGUGUCCUGCUCCUGUUCCCCCUGUCCACCCUGCAGUUGAAAUGCAAUUUAGUUACAGUUUGAAAACCUGUAAAAAUAAUGUUAUAUCUUGCAUAUUGAUUUUUGAUAUAUACCUAGGUACAGUAUAUCCAUACACCUUUACCUGUAUAUCUCCAUACUCAGUUACCAUCAAGGCAGCAAGAUCAGUAAUGAUUUGAAGCAUGGGUUCCAGAUUCAGCCUUGUGUCCAAAUCUGUGUUUGUGUGUGACAUGGGUACCUAUGUUUCCUCAACCUCUCUCCCAGAUAUUUUAUUUCCCUAUCUCUAAAGUAGGUGGAAGGACAGUCUACCUUGAAAUAGUGUUGUGAGGCUCAAUUAAAAUAAUGCAUGCAGUCGUCUAAGUGUAGUGCCUAGCUCAUGAUUCCAUGAAGCAAACUGCAGUUCUUUUUGUUAUGAGUAGCAGAAGAUCGAGGUGGUAAAAUGAACUGAUAUCAUCUUGACAAGUCACUUAAUUUCUUCAGAUCAUGAUGUCUUGGUCUUUCAGAUAAGAAAAUGUCCUCAACAAUCUAUAGCAUGAAUGUCCGAGCCAACAAUCUCCAAAUCCAUUCAUGGAGGAAGUGAGAACUGGAAGAAGUUACUUAUUCAGCAUUGUACGGUCAGCAGGAGGAGUGCCUGAGCACUGAUCUGAUGCCACAAAUGGAGAAUUCCACACCUGGCCUCCAGUGAUGGGUUUCACCACUAUAAAAUUAAAAAUAUUUAAUAAAAUUAUCCUUAGGCCAUGCAUAUAAGUGUAUAUGAAACAAACAUUCAUGAAUUUUUGGUUUAGAUUUGGGUACCAGCCCCAAGAUCUCAUUUUGUAUAAGAAAUUGAAACAAACCUCAAAUCUGAAAUGCUUCUGUUACCAAGCAUUUAAGAUAAGGGAUAUUCUUG
rnacentral:lncRNA from 1 species